GAAUCUAAAAGCUUGCUGAGAAACUGCCUCCAAUGUUGCUCCCUUAACUUUCACUGUGGAAAACUCUGAAGGAAGUUGACUGCACCCUUUAAUGGAAGCAUGAGGAACCAGUCUCUUUCCUUUAGAUAUGAAUGAAAAUGUCUCCAUUGUGACUCAGCAGAUCUCCAGGAUUUUCCUGUGUAGUUUGUGUUUUGGCUCUCAACUGGUGGAAACUGACUGCUACAAGACUGAAGUUUUUAAAUCAAACCCAAAUAACAAAAUGUAUUUCGAGCUGAAAAAGGUGGUGGCAUCAGGCUGGGGGAAUAGAGAGGCCCAAGAACGAAAGACAGAGGAAUAACAGGUCAGUGGAGCAGUCAGAACACACACAACAUUUGUGGUGCCCCCUAACAGUUACAGUAGUAAUAUUAAAGAUCACUGAUGACAUGUCAUCA